rnacentral:misc_RNA from 1 species
UCUCCGUUGGUGAACCAGCGGAGGGAUCAUUACAGGACUCGCAAGACUCCUUCACCCUGUGAACCUCACUACAAGCACGUUGCUUCGGCGGGUGUCCCGGCGGGGGUUUUCCCUCGCCGGGGCGCACAGCACGCCGGCAGCCUACUAUACUCUGUCUCUUUGCGUUGGCAUCUCGAGAAAAAACAAACAAGUUAAAACUUUCAACAACGGAUCUCUUGGUUCUG